GUUAGUGCUACUAUUACUAAAACACACACAAUUUCUCCCUUCUUUUUUAGAUUUCCCCUAUUUUCCUCUUUCUAAAAAAAAACCCAUUUUUUUAAAGAUUUCCCUUUUCCUAAAAUAUCUUCAUUGUUCUCUCAUCUAUCUUCCUCUAAUCUUUCUCUCCACAUAAGCCUUUUCCUCAAAUUUUUAGUCUCCACGCAAAAAGUAUCCAUCAGUUGUCGUCGUGCGUCGCCCGCCUCCAAUUUUGCUGCCUUUGUCUUUGUAGAGAUUCUGGUUCUGGUGCCUGUUAGCAUUCACCUACUCUGUUAGAAGUUUGAUUAGAUUUUUGUACGACUCGUUCCAUGCAUGCAAUAUGGUGUGACAAUUUAGACUAUUCUUUCCAUAUUUUAUGUCUAAGUUUAAUAUGUAAGAGUUACAACUUAAGCAGGGUUGACAGGUAUUGUUAGAAGAAGAACGAUGUCGGUUGACUUCACACCAUAUCUCGAGCCUAGUGAGGAGGUGCUCUGGGAUGUGGUGUGACAAUUAAAUGAAAGCCUUCUCAUAUCCCACUUGAGAGAACUGAAAAAGGAUGUUCACCUCCUAAAUCUUCAUCCGACUAGACUUCUUAUUUGUUUUCCUGUAAUGUAACAAAGUAAUAAUCUCUUGAACUUUUUGUUCUCCUUUAAUUACUCACGGUCACAUUCCUCUAAUGGUGGGAAAGUUCAUGGUUUAAUGAUAGUUUUAGGAAAUUGCCUUUCAAUCAUGCAAAGUUUGGUCAUCCCAAAAUUGCAUUGUAUGUUGAUUGAACAAUCUACGACCAAAAUAACUUGUCAUCUUUAUCAUAAUAUUAGGUUCUCCAAA